CGGCGUGUGGCUCAGCAGUGGAGCACCGGGCUGUGGUCCCGGAGGGCGCAGGGGCGGAACCUGCCACGCCGG
rfam:Streptomyces ghanaensis ATCC 14672 supercont1.1 genomic scaffold, whole genome shotgun sequence.